UGGACGACUGCGCCCCUGGGGAAAAACUCCUUGUGAAACCAAACCCACAGAAUCCAGACUGUCCAGUGUAUGAAUGCGUGUCUAGUGGUACUACUACAUCUCCUCCUGUAUGGACCCCAACACCUGGUGUUUGUGACGGCACCAUUUGCAAACCAUUUAGAUGUGAGAAGAAAGGCUCUAGUAUGGUUUUCGAUUCGAUAGUGG